AGCGAACGCUGGCGGCAGGCCUAAUACAUGCAAGUCGAACGGCUCUUCGGAGCAGUGGCGGACGGGUGAGUAACGCGUGGGAAUGUGCCCUUGGUACGGAACAACACAGGGAAACUUGUGCUAAUACCGUAUGUGCCCUUCGGGGGAAAGAUUUAUCGCCAUUGGAGCAGCCCGCGUUGGAUUAGCUAGUUGGUGAGGUAAGAGCUUACCAAGGCGACGAUCCAUAGCUGGUCUGAGAGGAUGAUCAGCCACACUGGGACUGAGACACGGCCCAGACUCCUACGGGAGGCAGCAGUAGGGAAUCUUGCGCAAUGGGCGAAAGCCUGACGCAGCCAUGCCGCGUGAAUGAUGAAGGUCUUAGGAUUGUAAAAUUCUUUCACCGGGGAAGAUAAUGACGGUACCCGGAGAAGAAGCCCCGGCUAACUUCGUGCCAGCCGCCGCUGUAACAC
rnacentral:rRNA from 1 species